rnacentral:rRNA from 1 species
CAGCAGCCGCGGUAAUACGAAGGGGGCUAGCGUUGUUCGGAAUCACUGGGCGUAAAGCGCACGUAGGCGGACUUUUAAGUCAGGGGUGAAAUCCCAAGGCUCAACCUUGGAACUGCCUUUGAUACUGGAAGUCUUGAGUUCGGGAGAGGUGAGUGGAACUGCGAGUGUAGAGGUGAAAUUCGUAGAUAUUCGCAAGAACACCAGUGGCGAAGGCGGCUCACUGGCCCGAUACUGACGCUGAGGUGCGAAAGCGUGGGGAGCAAACAGGAUUAGAUACCCCGGUAGUCCCUGUCUCUUAUAC